CCUACGGGUGGCAGCAGUGGGGAAUAUUGCACAAUGGGCGAAAGCCUGAUGCAGCAACGCCGCGUGAAGGAAGAAGGGUUUCGGCUCGUAAACUUCUAUCAACAGGGACGAAAGAAAUGACGGUACUUGAAUAAGAAGCUCCGGCUAACUACGUGCCAGCAGCCGCGGUAAUACGUAGGGGGCAAGCGUUAUCCGGAAUUACUGGGUGAAAAGGGUGCGUAGGCGGUCCGGAAAGUCAGCGGUAAAAGCCCGGGGCUCAACCUCGGCGAGCCGUUGAAACUGUCGGACUAGAGACGGCGAGAGGGACGCAGAAUGCGCGGUGUAGCGGUGAAAUGCGUAGAGAUCGCGCGGAACUCCGAUUGCGAAGGCAGCGUACCGGAGCCGGACUGACGCUGAGGCGCGAAAGCGUGGGUAUCGAACAGGAUUAGAUACCCGAGUAGUC
rnacentral:rRNA from 1 species